CGCCGGUGGGCAUCAGAUCUCCAGCGUGAUGGCCGCCGUGCAGACCCAGCAUCACCUGGAUGCUGUGGACACCCGUGCCUCCUCGUCCGCCAAAGUCUGAGAAGAUCGGAUCGUCGAAGGGACCUCCGUCCAUCAUUUACCGCAAUCGUCGAGUUUGGGAGUUCCUAGGAUAUCUUCAAGUUGGAUAAGAACUGAGCCUUUUGCGAGACGUUCUUGAUAGUCUGUUGCGUCGACUUGUCAAUUAAUCAUCCCUGAGGUGGAUUAAGAGUGAAGACAGUCAGGUGUGUCUUUCGUUAUCGCUGCCAGGCUGAAGUUACUCGCCGAGUCUAUUCAUUAUCGUCCUAGAGUACUUCCAGUGGGAGCAACUGGGAGCAACAGGUAGCUCGUCCGAGUACCUCCUGCUGGUCGGUAAUUGUACCCCACAACUAACAACGUUCACUUAUUUCUCAGGUCCCUGGGUGGACGUCUUCAGUGCCGCUGAACUGGAGUCACCACUCGCGUUGAUCGGCCGCAAUUAACAGUUGAUAGAAGACAGCAGGAGGAACCAGGUAUCACCUGUAUUAGCUUAAUCACUUAUUUCCCAAAGUCUCUUGAACUACAACUGUCUCCGGUUGCUGUUUGCACCCAACGAACUGCGUUCACUUAUCCUCCGCGACUCCAGGUGUAUUAGCUUUACUAAAUUAGAGUCACUGGAGUAAUUAAGAGUUGUUCGCCAGUCCAAUCCUAGCGAAAGUUUCUGUGCCGAUCUCCGAAGAUCUCCUUUCUUGUACCCAGGAAUCGAGGAUGUUGGCUUAUCUUCGGUUGUUAGAAGGUAACAGAAGCUUCGAUUCCAGCGAACAAAAGCGUCCGAAACCAGGCUCGAUCUCCGACGGGCCUCCGACACGUCGUUCCUCGUCUGUGGUCACCUGUCGCGUCGUCGGAUCCCGAUCGUUGCUCUCGCGAAGGUAUCGGCUCGUGUCGAACGGCCGAAAGUCCGUGAACGUUCGCCGUUUUAAAAUUGGUGGUCCGUGGCCGCGGGUUGAAUUAUGCAAAAAAGCGCGUUGCCGCGGCGCCGCGGAUGAUCGCGUUAGCGCGUUCCUCCGUAAUGGAAUCCGGACCAAUUGCGAUCAAUUGUUGCCCGGGUUAUGAUUAAUUUUGAUUAGUUUUAAGCGGAGUUAACUAAGUGAACCGAGCCGUUGGCCGAAGGCGCGAACGUCUGACCGCGUAAUAGAGAGAGAAUGCGUUUCCUAGCGUCCAGAGGGAACCCAGGACCUUGGAGGACUACGCGACGACGAAUGGAUCGGGUUCACUCCUCUCGCGGGGACGCUAUCCGUCGGCCGUGGUUGGUAUCGCGAGCAGGCUGUCCUAUCCGGGACACUCUCGCACUACCGACGAUCCGUUCCGACUCUGGCUAAUCAGCGGACACUCACACAGGCUUAUAUUUUCAACGGGUUGCCGGCCAGGCCGCCCCCACACAUGGAGGCCAGCCAAUCCUGCGGCACCUACUGGCCUCCGCGGCGAGAGGACGGCCCUGUUCAUGCGGGCGCGGUGCUGCCUACGUUUUCUUACUCUAUUCCUCCCUUUCCGUCGCGCUCACGCCCAUAGACCUCUCUCACCCUCGCACCCCCUUGCGCUAGACCGGCUAUACACUAUCGCUCAAAAGUAUCCGGACAAUUGCUUUUCUUCUGCGAAACAUACUUCUAACUUUGUACGAAAGGUAUUUGGAACGCUUAUAUCGAUUUUAAUCGUUAUAGUCCAGACAAGUUCGUGACAAUUUUUAUGAAAAAUUCAAAGACAAACUCGACGUACUUUCUACCAUUUAAGGGGUGCGUACAUGUUAUUCGUUUUCAACCAUUCCGAUAUAUUCAGACCUGUACAGCAUAGGCUGUGUAGGAUAAUAGAAUUAAUCUUUGUGUACAAAUUAUACGAUGAGCGUGCAGAAAUAAAAUUGUAACAGAAAUACAAAGUCUAAUGGAACGGCCUCGAUGCUUAAAAGAAUCUCAAAUUUCGCUUUGCUUCGUCUCUAUGGCGCAGAGUUCAGGGAGUUGUGGAUAUGUUUAUGUUCUCUCGAGAGAGAUCAGAAUCAGUGCAAGCGGUGAUAUCCAACCGCGGCGAUAAAUCCCGUAUUUCGCGUAUUUCGCAAGAAACUAAUCAAAAUCGUUUUUGGUCGCUACUUUACCGGCGGCAUUAUUUUUGUUUUCUCGCCAUGGGGCGGCGGAAUGGUACGCGCCGUCUGAUAGACACGCGAGCGUGAGCCACCGGUGGUACACGCCGCCUGAGGGCCAGUGAUGGGCAAAAUCCUAGGCUUCGAAUAAAUCUGAAGUUUGCUUUCCUCUUCUGAGAAAGGAAGGUUUUCCAAAGAAAGAAAUGAGACAAAAAAUAUAUUAGUAAACUUCAGAUUCAUUCGAAGCCAAGUGCGACCCACCGGUGGUACACGCGUUAAAUAACUUUGAUGCAAUGUAUAUUUUGCAAGUGUCCCGGAUACUUUUGAGCGGUAGUGUAUACUUCCCUUUGCGCCACGGCUGCCCCUUCUUUCUUCCCUUUCUCCUUGCUCCGGUGCCCCAUCUCUCUCUCUCCUCUCUGUCUCUCUCUCUCUCUCUCUCUCUCUCUCUGGCUUUUGAGAUCUGUUGCAUUCUGUAUCUUGUCUUCUUCAGACUUUGCGCUUUCCCUGAGACGUUGGUUGUCCUUGUCGUGCUAUUUAUCUCUAUGCUCUGUCUCCCUCAGUCUUUAAAUAUUACUCCAUGCAUCCCCAAGCUCUGUCUCCCUCGAAUUCAACAUUUUCUUCCACUUUUCUCAUUUGGCUUUUCUCAAGUUCCGAAGUCUCCUAUCUCCCAAUUUCGCGUGCUCCGUCUCUGUUCCAUCUUCUUCCGUAUCCCUCAGGUUCUCCUCUCCAUUUCCCCUCCGUUCCAUCGCCUUCGGAAUUCGAGUAUAUAGCACUCUCUCUCUCUCUCUUCGUCCCUCCAUCGUCUCGUCUCUCUCGGGCUCGACGCUCUCGACGUCUUCCUGCUUCGCUGUCUCACUCGUUGGCUGCCGCUCCACCAUUUGCGACCGCCCCCGUCCUCCGGAGGACGCUCGACGUCCGCGACGUCGACGGCGCCCGCGGUGGUGGGGGACGAUGUGGGAAUCGGAGCGGACGGCUUCGUCCACGAUCGACGUUAUGGGAAAAUUGUGGAUCCGUGCCGCGGACUAUGGACUCCUCGCGAACCCUCGACCUUUUCUCGGAACGAACGCACGAGUAUGAGGGCUCUGCGCGCCUCUCGAGGCGGUUCGGGUCGGACCUUGGCCGCCAUCUUGCUCCGAAGCGCGGACGUCGCGGUUUCCGGGAAAUUGGAAUCGUCGGGAACGGUGUCGGAACGAUGUCGGAACGAUGCGUCAAGUCCGGGUUAGAUAUGUGGAGGACGAGUCAAAAUCUGUGGAUCCGUACGUCCGGAGAAAUUGUAGAAGGAGUUUUUCCUUCUUCGAAUGAGCACAGAAGUUCGAUAAGCGGACUGUGUCGAUAAUACAUGUGUGCGGAAAGUAUCGUUCCUCUUCUUCGAAACAUUACUUCACGCAACAAGGAAUUUCGCUCUUGGUAACUAUAGAUUAGAUGUGGGAGCAGAGUCUAGGCCAUGUUUGAACACUAUAGGAAUUCAGAGAUAAUUUGUCCGGUAUUCUAGAGAAAUUAUUCUUGUUUAAAACAUUCCUUCAUGCAACAAGCAGUUUUAUGACAAUCAUCUGUUAACUAUCGUAACUCUGGACUGGUAACUAAAGACUGGUAAUUAAAGACUCUUCACUAAAGACUUCACUAAAGAAAUACCUAGAGACUUGGCUACGAUAAGAUACAAUUCUCUAAUAACUCUGCCAACAUCCCUUACUGGUUCAUAAAUCCAACCUUCUACCUUAAACCUUCCAAAAAUCCGCGUGGAUCAGGCAUACGUUAUCUACGAAAGUCUCGCGAAGCCAGUCUACGAAGUAUCUCUCGAGAAAGCUCCCAUGUAACGGAUCUAGGACAGUACCUUCCCUCGAUGGAUCUCUGACCGCUCCACGCAAGAUCCAGAGUACUCCACGUUCCCGUGACACUGACAACACUCGCACACAAGCACUAUCGAGCCUCGCGCGAACUUCGAAGCGUCGCAGCCCGGUCGGAUGUCCAGUGUCUCCGACGUCUUCGAGGGUCCUUGAACUCGAGCUCGAACGAUCCCAAGGAGUCGCAGCUGACUCGAUCGCGCCUAAACCCGAAGGAUCCUCUCGAUCCACCGAGUUGUCACGACGGAUCCAUGGACGGAGUUUUGCGACGAUCCUCGAGGAGUUCGUCGAGGAUCACCUCUGGACGAUCGAUCAGGCGGCUCCGCCGAUCCUCGAAGGAUCCUCGAAGGAUCCUCGAAGGAUCCUCGACGCGAAAGGUGAGGGCACCUAUACUUUCCAAGAGAUCCAUGUCCGUUGACCGGCAGCGUGGCACUGAGCUCUUAAGCGCAGGCUCAAUGAAACCAGCAAUCGCCAGGAAUUGCCUCGAAUUGGCCCAAUCAAACUACCCCCAUUCCGUGUGUACACGCGUAUAUUAACUGCUAAUUUCAUCGGCGGUAAUUAGCGCGCGGCUGUCACGCGGUGAUUUAAUUGCGGUUCGCGAGGCUGGCCCUCUGCCUCCACCCCCUCGUCGAGGCGUCCUUUCCGCUUCGCUCCUGGGGCUGAACGCGGGACCGGCGCGUGGCCUUCCUCCUCGUUUCGCUAAUAAGUUUGUUUACAAGCGGCGAGAGCCGCUGGAGGCGUCUGCCAUCGGCGAUCUUGCCGAUUGGAAUCGAGGAUGGAUGCGCGCACCAGGUGAGUCACGGUUUUUAUCGUUGAGCGUUAUUCAGGUUUGGUGUUAAUUCGUCGUCAGUUUGGUAGAUGAUGUCUAUAUAGUCUAAAUAGAAUGUACCGAAGAAUUUCUCUAGAGCCUUCAAAACCUGCGUGUUACGAAUUGAAUUUGGCUUACACCUGUUUGGGAUUUGUAUGUUUGUACAGUGCUACGGAGCUGUCUGAUUCUUUCUUUUUAUUUUUCCACUUUUUUAUUUUACGCCGAAGGGUUUUUUCGAUACUUUAUAUUAAUAGCCGAACCUAACGUAACUUUGAAAAACUGGGGCGGCGAAUGACCGGGAUUCGAACCCAGGAUUUCAAGCGUGGUAGCCGGCUACGCUACGCACUGCUCCACUGCCGCUACCGGCUGACACCUGAACGAGGAUCCUAGAUAUAGAUACACCUGAACGAGGAUACUAGAAUGGAGAAGUUGUUGGGUGGUUGGUUCUUCAAGGAAGGUAUUAGGUGGACUGGAAUGUAAUUGUUAUUGCCAUCUUAAAUACUUGUUUACCAUUUAUCAGCUCAUUGAUUUUUCUGACAUUGAACAUUUGCACGCUAGGUGACAAAAGGCUGCUGACAAUGAGGGCGAUUGUAUGAAUGAAUAUAAUAACGAAUCAAAGAUAGAAAUUUAUUGGAAAGUUUGAAUUUAAUGUAAAAGAAACGAGAUUACUUUUCGGCCUACCUAAUAGAUUUCAAGGUUGAAGUUUCAUGAUGGAGUUUUGCUUGACGAAGAUUAGUUAGAGGUUAGCUUCUAACGCUCCAUGUGCUAUCUACCUAAUCCUCUAGAUUUCUACCAAUCCCCCAAAAAAUCCUCAAGCCUGUAUUUAACAUCUUCCGAGACCUAAAUGCGAACUCUUUCGAUCUAAAGCCUCAACAAAGCCCUAAAAAUCUUCUCGGUCCUUGACUCUCCUCCCAACGACCUCCAACGACUCGUCGUCCGACUGCCUUCGAUUUCUACCGAAACGGUGGCCUCCCGGCGACCAAUUCUUGCCUCCAUCGGCCCGUCGGCUCGCCAAUUAAUUUCCAAUUGGACGCCGUAUGCGGGUGGAGCCCAGGGAACCGCAGGAUAUCUGCGGAUGCAGGAGGCAUCCGCUCGUGAGGAUGACGACGAGCGCGAGAGCGAGAAGUCGGUAACUUAACUGGCCUAAAUGGGUUUAACUCGAUGUGAUUUUGCUGGCGAACCACUAAAUUGAACGAAUACGAACUAAACUGAACUCAACUAAGCUAAUCAUAUCACAUUACUAGCGUUAUUAGCCGAGAGACGAUAUAAGUGAAGGUCCGGUGGUGCCUGGCUGCAGUAACGGGUCGCCUCCUGCACUGACCCUCUGGACGACUUUCUUUUUCGACCCCUUUUUUUACCCCACGAAACCACGCCGCGCGUCCUAACCCUCCAUGGCGACUCGCAGUAACGCGAGGUCCACGUUUCUAGUCGGGUCUUCGUUUUUUUGUCGGGGAAGUACCGCGGUGGUAUCAGAGGGAAGACUUACGGAAACCCUAGGCACGAACCUGAAGUUCACCUGAAGUUCACCUGAAGCUCACCUGAAGUUUGUGGAUAACUAAGCUUGUCUCUGUUCAUCUCUGAGACAUUUCACGAAGAGGAAAACUUCAGAUUCGUUGGAAACCUAGGGUUUUGUUUAUCGUUGCGUCCACGUUUCUCUUCGGCUCGCGAUCGGUUCUCGCGAGUUCGCACGGAAGACGGUACGCGAGAGGAACGUGCUCGUCGAGACGACGACACCCGAUUUCGCCCGAUUUCGUCCGAGGUUCCGCGCGUCUGGUGAAAGUGACGCCACCGCGGGAAGUUUGAAACGCGACGCGCGUGAUGGGAUUUAUGUCUUCGGACUUAAAUUGACUCUACAGUUGAUGAAACUACCCGAUGAGGCAUUUGACUUGGAAUAUGUAACUUGCGUAGUGGCGAUCGGUGACACUGGAUUGUACUUAAGUGUCGUGAUUUCGUCUGUGACGUUUGAGACAGUUUUAGUGAUCGAGACUUUUAUACGCGUCGCUAAAGUGUGAGAGAUUGAGGAAGAUAUGUUUGGAAGAGUGCGAUACGUGUUUUAAAAUGGUAGAAAUAAGAGUGUUAGCUUCUUAGAGAUAAGUGUUCUGGAUAAUUAUUGAAGAAGAGCGAUGCUUAGCGAGAGAAAAAUAAAAAUAAAUGAAAAUCGAGCCCUGUGAAGCUUCUGUAAUGUUUGGCAUGGAGGAUACGAAUGUUAAGCGCUGUUUUUGCUAUUCUACUUUUAACAAAAGCAUUCUUCAUGCACUUGUCAGUUAUAAAAUAAUAAUAAGAUUUUUCCCGACACUCUGCGUCAAUCUCAGGUUCAGGUUUCUCUCAACGAAUAUAUAAUAACGAAAUUAAUCUUAAUUUUGAGUAGACGUCGAAUAGAAAAGUUUGUCUAAAACGCGAGUUCCCUUUUUAUUGUUAAAAUAUUAAAAAGAAAAUUCGUCUUUA